ensembl:lncRNA
UUUCAGUGGGACGUAAAGUUGUCGCUUCGAGGUUUGAUCUUCUUACAGCAUCCAGAUCAGGUUUACCAGAGGGUUUAAAGUAAUGACGUCCCGGAGGGGGGGGCUUCUCCAUAAGACACCGUUGUCCUCCCUGACAGCGGAGCUUCGGUGGCACAUCGCAUCUGGAAUUCACCUCCGAGACAAAACGAUCCGCCCCAGAGUAACGAACAUCGACCGUGGAGAAGAUCGACUGCAGACGAGUACGUGGAGGCGAUUAAACUGCACGUGCACAUGAUCAGUUAUUCAACUUUGCAAUAGUUCUUAUUCAAUGAUAAGUUAUUCAAUGGAUGGACACGGUGACCUCUGUGAGAAACGAGCUUUUCCCGUCUUUCACCCAUUAACGCCUCUCAGGAGGAGAGAAAUGUGUAUUUAUUUAUCACAGGAGCCGGGGUCACUAAAGGGGGGGAUCAUGGAUGCUGGGUUCAUGUUUGCUUUUGUUUCACGGAGCCUUCAUCUGGGGGAAGACUACAGAGGAAUCGUAAGCAACAUGAUAAACAGGCCUCUUCAGCGCUCCUCAAGUCACUAGUUUCCCACCUGCAGCGUGUCCCAAACACAAAAUGUAUAUUUCAUGGCACGGAAUGCAUUAUGCGCACAAAAUGCACCCCGGGGGGUCCCAGUACCACUUCCCUGUGCCGUGUAAUGCAUUCUUUGCAACAAAAUGAAGGAAAUUAACUGGUUAUGAUUAUAAUAUAAUUACCAUAUCAUUAUCAUACAUUAACUUGCCUCACUGGGGUUCGCGAUGCACUUUGAUGACACUUCCCGGGAUCAGAAGCACUUCGCACACUCCAGUGCGUCGGGGGCCACGGUGGCGUUCUGCAGGCAGUCCAUGGAGGUCAGCGCAGGCCUCAGUGGGAUCAGAACCGCAGAGCACUUCUUCAUCUAACAUCUUCCGCUGUGCUUUUUUCGCCACUUUCAAAUUGUCAAAAGAAUAUUA